GAGCAAAUAAACACACCACCCUGCACUGCCUCCCCUGGAACCUUGCCCCAACUCCCAGCAGACAUGAGGACCACAGUGGCACACAACCCUUCAGUGACACCAACACCCUGCCUGGACUUACUCAGUCCAUGUUCCAUCAGUCCCUGUGCAACAAAAGGAAUGAACCACAGAUGGGUUCUGUAACUCAGAGCAAGAACUGGGCAAGAAAGAGGGAAUUCUGUGGAUACUCAGACACCCAAAGCCUGUCUGAAGCAUGAUGCCCAGCCCGGCAAAGCACCACUGCAGGGAAGUUUUAAUCAGGCUUCCUGUUGUAAAAGCUCAGCAGACAGUGACGCGAGACACUGCCUCCCAACUUCGGUUCACCUUUGUCGUUCCACCAGGGACACCGUGUCAAGAUUGUUCAGCUUUUUUGAUGAGUGCUGCAUGUCGGCGAGGGAUGCUUGGCCAGGCACCUGGGGCUCGCCUGCCACGGAGCCGCACCAGCACCAAACCAGCCUGCACAUAGAUCACAAGGCUUUAACUCUCCAAUUAUAAUCUUAUUAAACAACCAUCACUCGA